rnacentral:lncRNA from 1 species
CCUUGAGCAUUUUAUUUUCUUGUUUCCAACAUCACUUUUCAUGGACUUAUGCACUCUGUUCCUAUCGAGUUUAUGACAGUUUAAUCCAGAAAUACACAUCAAUUGCAACAAAAACUAAACGUUGUACUUUGAUGUAUGAAGGUAUGAAGAAAAUAUGAUUGAGACACAGAUUCGGUUUCAACAAAGCCAAUAUAAAGUUUACAUAAACUCAGUAAAAUUAUACAGAAA